rnacentral:lncRNA from 1 species
AUCUUCCAAGUCAUCGGAUUCAGACUCACCAUCUUCCGUAAAUAUAGACAGGUCUUCAUCAUCCUGUGUCAUUACCAGGUGGACCCCGAAGCUUUUAAAACGCAGCGAAUCUUCUGCCCAAGUCGGAAAAUUAACUCGACACGCAAAAGGCGACUUCGGCCAGGUAAUCUGAUCAUCCCGGUAAAACAUUUCUCUGAACUGAAUAUAGCACAGCCACACAUGACCUGACCCUAUCUUUUUGAAAUAGUAAUUGCACUGAAUAAAAUAAGGUUCCACUCCUGGUUGAUUGAUGGAAAUUUUUGGUACAAAACCAUGGAAACGUCGUCUUUUGUUUUGGGGGUUUUCAACAGCAGCGUAUAGAGCCAAUCCUUGGUUCUGGCAUUUGAAGUUUGGAGGGAUUUGAAUCAAAAAUUUACAUGCGUUAUCACGCUCCUUCACAUCCUUAUGACAGCUGAACAACGUCGAGAAAACUUCAAAACUUGCUGGAAAUACAACCUGAAAUCCAUGUUUCUGUGAAGACAGAAGGUGAUCAAAGAAGAGAGUGAUCUGCUCCUUUGCUAAAAUGUUAUGCUUCUUUGUGAGGUCACGAGCCAGAUUGCCGCACAGUCUCUGGCAAUUACCCAAGUCCACCAACUCAAUCAUUUGUAAGUCUUUUUUACCUUUCAGAAUGUUGGACAACGAUGAAAACCUUUCCAAUGAUACGCAAUCACUCGCCCCUAACUUUACUAUUUUUGGUGGAAGUUCCGGAAUAUCUCGAAGCCUCUUGCAGCCAUGCAAGUAAAGAUCCCGCAAAUUGACAAAUUUCGUAAUGCAUUUGGGAAUACUUACAAGGAAAUCACUUCGUCUUAGAUCAAGUACGUUCAAUGUAGACACACAAUCAAGAGUCCUCAGGAAAUUAAAUUCUGAUAAAUUGUUUCCUUCCAACUUGAAUUCCGCAAGACUGGGAAGCGCUAAAGUAUGUGAUACUGGACUCCCCAAAACUUCAGACUUCACUUUAUUUGGAAAUCUAACAAGCUUUCGACUUCCUUGGAGACAAAUUUCAUUUAGAUGUUCCAACUCAUAAAUGCUGGAUGGCAGAUUCGUCAGAUUUUCACAAAUGCUUAUGUCUAAAAAUUCAAGACUGACGAGAUAUGCAAUUGACGCAGGCAAUUCUUUGAUGCCACUACCACAUAGAAACAAGUGACGUAAGGAAUCCAUCUUCCCCCCAAUUUCAGGGAAAGUCUCCAGUCUUCUGCAAUAUACAAGAUAGAGAACUUCUAGAGAUUUUGACUUGAUUAUUGGAAAUAGUGUGAGGUUAUGGCAACUCUGAAGACUCAAUUUCACAAGCUUAUCAUGAAAUCCAACAGAAGGAUGAACCUCAACUAAACUUGUGCAGUCGUCUAGAUUCAAGGACUGUAAGUUUGGAAUUCCAGAGAUAUUUGGGCUUUUUGUUAGGAAUUCACAGCUCUUAAAAUUCAUGGACGUCAAAUUUUGCAAACGCUAUAUAAGACAAAAAUAGAAAAUAAAAAGAAGGAUCAAACGGUAAGGCAUAAACAAGUUCAAGCCAUAACUCCAAAAACAUAAUAAACUUUUGAAAAUACGAAGGGAUGAAAAUAAUUUAAAUUACCUUGAAUCCCUCCCCAAGUUGUGACAAGCGGCUAUAAGGCAUAUAAAGUUCAACAAGUUUCCUUGGAUUGAAAGUAGAUGGUAAAGUUUGUAGAGGACAAUUAGGCCAAUGAAGAAACCUCAACUCAUUAGAUAGAUAAUCCACGUGAUCGCCACUAAAUCGUGCAUUCACAUUGAUGAAAAGUCGAAGGUUUUUCAUCUUUGAGAAGCUGUCACCACUCAAGCAUAUGUCAUCUGGUGUCGGAAACUUUGCUAUGAUGCCUUUAAUAUUAUUUGUUCCCUAUUAUCAAAAAGCAGUAGUGUAAACAUACAAAGCUCUUUAGCAAAUAAAAAUGCAAGUGUACACAUCACACAACAGACUUACUGUUCCUUCUGUUAGAACACGAUAAACAUCCUCGUGAAACCACAAUCUGCUACGUUCACCAGGCUCAUUUGGCGACUGUAGAUAAACUAUUCCUCUACCCAAUUCUUCAAGCAAGUCAUGCAUCCCAAUUAUGCCUCGUUCAAUAUUUAUGAGGGCCUUGUCUACGAGUACUUUAAUAGCAUACUUAGGCUUGAGGUCACAACCUUCCAGGAUCGGUAUCACAUGGUUCACCUUUCUACCGUUAAAGAAACAUGCUAUGUCAAGGAAAACUUCUUGCACUGAAUAUUCCAAUGCAUCAUAGCUUAUUUUGAGAGUUUUUUUAAUGUCCGGGUGCAGAUUCCCAUCCAAUGCAUCAUGCCACUCAUCUAUACUUCUACCACAUAGAUGAGAACCUAAAACCUUGAGAGCUAAAGGAAGACCUUGAGCAUGCUUCAGCACAGUUUCUGCAGCUUUCACAUAAUCAUCAUCCAAAUUUUUAUUUCUCCCACCAUUCCAACUAAUGAAGAGAUCAAGAGAUUCACCAAAGUUUAAUUUCUUGGCCUUAUAUAUAAUACUAACUUGAUGAGAAGUUAGCAAAUGCUUAUCUCUUGUCGUUAUGAUGAUUCUACUGCCCAAACCAAACCAAUCACAACCUCCAACUAAGUUGUUUAAUUGGUCCAAAUGAUCCACAUCAUCUACAAUUACAAGGACCUUUUUACCACUCAACCUUUCCUUUAUCACACUGAUUCCUUUAUCGGCACUGGUAACCUUUAUUUCCUUUCCCCUUAGAAUCUCAUCAAGAAGAAGAUUUUGUAGGUCGACUAGGCCUCCAUAUGGUAUUGAUCUUUCUCUUACUUUUUCCAGAAAACAACUCCCUUCAAACACAUGGGCCAGUGAGUUAUAAACAGCUUUAGCAACAGUUGUCUUUCCUAUUCCAGCAGUCCCCCAUAUUCCUACCAUGCGAACAUCAUUUCCGUCAACAUCUAAAACUUUAUGAAGAUCUCGUACACGAGCCUGUAUUCCGACUUGGUAUUUUGCCACAUUGAUAUGGGUAUCAUUUAAUACUUGUAAGGAAAUCUCGUUGACAAUGUUCUGAAUAAAUUCAGUUUCACGGCUGCCAAUUUCAAGCACAAACAACAAUUAAAUCAAAUGGGAUUUUUCUAUAUAUGUUAUAAAGAAGUGCUCGAUACUAAUGUCAAUUAUGUCAUGAAUCUAUAUAUAUAAAGCAAAAAAUAGAGAAUAAUGAAACAUUCAAAAUACCAUAAAAUGUCAUUGGUUAAUGUAAACAUUUUAACAGAAAUAUAUUGAAAAUGUCUAUUACUCUAGAGAUUUCUACCAAAUGUCCAUCACAUUUUAACAGUUAAAAUAACAGAUUCUGCAACCCUGGGAGAAAUAAAUUGAAAUUAAAGCAGAGCCUCAGAAAAGAAAAAAAUAAUAACGGAUCCUAAAUGUAUAUUAAAGACAGAAAUAUACCGCAUCAGAAAAGGAAAAAAAUAUAAAUAAUAAUAAAUAAAUAAAUAAAACAUACCCCUCCAAGUAAUGCGACCCAGACAAAUUUGCAGCUUCUGUAAGGGUUUCCUUCCAUCUCAGAACCUUCUUCAUAUUGUCCUCGAAUUUACUUUCAUCAUGGUUAGUAAGUUUCUGUUCUUUGAAUUUGCGUUCAUGGUUAUUCAGUGCCUCGCCAUAACUACCUCUUUGGUUCCUUACAUCUGAGGGAUCCACUUUGUAGAAAACUGGCCAAACCAUCUGUUGCUUUGAUUUUCUACACUGAAUGAUAUGAACAAGUUCAUCCAAGCACCACUUCGAGGAUGCAUAUUUUUCAGAGAAUACGAUGAUGGAACACCUCGAUCCUUCAAUUGCAUCAAGAAGUGCUUGUGAUAUUUCCUCUCCUCUUGGGAGCUCAUCAUCUAUGAAGGUUCUGAUGCCCCUCUGGACCAAAUUUUUGUGCAGAUGGUCUGUGAAAUUGUAGCGUGUGUCCUCACCUCUAAAGCUGAGAAACACAUCGUGGGUCCAUGAAUUGGUGAAAGAAGAAGAAGAAGAAGAAGGGGAAGGAGCUCCUAAUAAUUGAGUGGUGUCUAGAUCCAUAUUGUUGAAAAUUGAACAGGCUGAAAGGGUUGGAAAUUAUAGUGAUUUAUUGUCCGAGAGUCUCUGGUUGGCAAUGUCAGUGGGGAGACGAAUCAUGUGAGUGAAAAGUCUUCGUCUUUCUCGGCCCCAAGAGCCCCUACCUCUGCUGGGUCUCUCUAGACCCGAGGGACAGUUUUAAAUUUUUUUAAUUUUUAAUUUUAUAUAAUUAUUUAAUCAAUAAAAUAAAACUAGUUUGUUACUCUUUCAAAAGGUUUCCGUGAAUGGCGGGAAGAAGAACCACCUUCAUUAGUGGUUGAAUCCAUUUGAUUGCAGAAAAGGAUGUUGGGAAAGGCUACUUUCCUUUGUUAUAUAUUAGGUGUUUACUCAGUGCUCCGCCAUUUGCUUGUAUUAAAAAUAAAAUUAGGCCAUCCCAUCUGCGAAGUAGUUUCCUCUGUCAUUUUCAGAGUGGAUGAGAAGUCAAAAGGUGAAUAUUAUAAAACAGAAGACUGCAUUUUUGUUGCAACGUACGGUUGUUUCGCAAUUCAGAAGUAACGUAGAAGUUCGGCGUGUAGGAAAAAAAGACAAAAUGCGUAGAUGAUGAAGAUGCAUAAAAUAACCUCCUCUAAAUAUUUUGUUAGAAGACAAAACUUUGUUUCUUUUCCUUUUUUCUUAUUAUAUGACCUAAUAUUUGAAAAAUAAUAUUGAUUCCUUUAUCGACAAAAUGGCCUAAUUAUUUACAGAAUUUAAAUAAAUUUUUAUAAUAAAAAUUGAUUUUAAUCCCCACUUGAUACACGCACAUAGGACACGCUUAGGAUAUUCAUUAGGAAAUAAAAUCAAUAGGAUCCAAAAUUUGGUGUUUAUAGGAUAUAGGAUGAUAAGCUAAAUUCAAUAGUCUCAAUACGAACUCAAUAUCACUCAAACUCACUAUGCAACACAUUUCAUUCAAUUCUUUUGUGCCAAAAUAAUUGACUACUCGAACAUCUUCUAAAAGUUUCAUUACGUCCAUGGAGUAUAACUCAGUUGAUUGAGCUCUUUCACCUCCACUUAUGUGGGCAAAAGUUCGAGACACCUAGGCACCCAAUGAAUAUUUGUGUAAACCACUCUCCCCCAAUCACUUGUGCUAUAAAAAUAUAUAAAAAAAUAAUUACAAAUUCCCAUGUUUUUCUUAUCAUUUCCAUUGUUUUUUUAAUCUAGUUUUUAUCAAUAUCAAUAAUUUUUCACAGAUAUUUCCAAAUUUUUAGACCACUAAUAUUUUUGAAACUCUAAAUGCCUGUUUGGCAUUGUUUAUUUGGAGCAAAAAUCACUUUCUUAAAAAGUUUUCUUCCACCUAGCUGUUUGGUAAAUGAAAAAAUAAUCUGAUUAUAUGAAUAAUUGCUGUCAGCCACAGUGAUUUGAGGAAGCUGGUCAGGGGGUGAUUUUAUUUCCGCUUAUGCGGAAAGAGGGUGGGGAACCGGUGCUCUUUAAUGAAUGUUUUAAAAAUGCCCAGAUUAUUCUCAUUGGCUUUUGAAAAUGACAUCCACUAUCGUCUUCAUUUGAUCAUGUAUUCUUGAAUCGCUGCUUCCUCUCCUCUCACGUUACAUAGUGAGUUCAGUUCUUCUUCUUCUUCUCUUCACACCUUUCUUCUUUAAUUUGUCUCCAAGAUUCCUACAACCCCAGAUCUAAAGUUUGUUUCUUAUCUUUUUUCAUUCUGGAUUUGGGGCAGUUAGUCCUUUCUGAUGGUCCAAUCCUGAUAGUCACGUUUCUAGUUCUCAACAAAGAACAAAUCUUAAUGGUCCUUCAAAUCAACGGAUUGGAUCCAGUAUCAAUUUCAUCAUUUUGGGUUUUCAGUGCAACAGAGUGAUAAAAGGUUUUCAGUGCAACAGAGUGAACAAAUCUUAUUGUUUUCUUGUGUUUGAUGGGCUGCAAUGAAUUUGUAGGUUGUAUCCCCUGUGUUCACUCUCUUUCUGGGUUUCUCUUGUUCUAGUCCUCAUUUGCAACUUUAUCCAAAUUAUUUUUUUAUAAAUUCUCUUGUUCUAGAACACUUUUAUUUUUAAUACUCAUUCUAAACUGGUUUCCUUCAAUCCUUUUUUCCGUUUUCAAAAUCAUUGGGUUUUCAAUAAUGAAAUGCUGUAUUAAUUGACGACAAACAAAACAAAACAAAACAAUGUAGGAUCAGCCCACAUAACGCAUCUGGAAGAAAGAGGCGAAGGGUGGUCAUAAUUUCUAAAUUUACUUCACAAUAAGGAAAGGAAUGCAUAUAUGCAAGUAUGACUGUAUGAGUAGCAACGUAUAUACUCGAUGGGAAUUGGCAUUUGGUUGUUGGCCAUGGAGUUAAAUGGUGUGAACAAAAAUUACUAAUGAAGAGGCAAGAGGGCACUGAAUACUGCAAUCGUGAUAGGAAGAUUUUGGGUUGUUAUUAUAUUCAUUUGUGAAUUACAAUAGUUGAGUUUUCAAUUGAUCAUAAUAUUCAGGUUUUAGGUAUUGAAAUUAAAAAUAAUAACCUCAUGCCCUUUCUAGUCACUAUACACAGUCCAAACACUUUUACACAAAAAUUUACCAAACAUUCGUAAACUUAAUAUUGUUUCAACAUCACUUUUAACAAAAAGUUUACCAAACGCCAAAUUGAUUUAUUUCACAGCUGAUUUCUCAUAUAGCAAAUUUAACCAUGAUUAUUUUCACAGCACAGCAAUGCCAAACUGACUACCUUACUUCUUACCCAAAAAAAUUGUCCUUACUUAUUGUAAAAUUAAUGAGACAAUAACUAUUUAUAACAAAAACCAUGAUUGCACUCAUAAUAUGCAUCAAUGUACAUCACAGAUGCAAAGUAGUUUCAUGUCAUCUUCAUAGUGGAUGUGAAGUCAAAGGGAAUAAGAAAAUGGUCAAAAGGAAACAACAACCAACCACAAAAGAAAAAGAAAAAAGAAGCAUCACUACACUUUCGUUGCAACAUGGUUAUUUAACAAGUAGUUGGGGGUGUGGAAAAAAAGACAAAAGGUCGAUUGAUGAUGAAGAUGACUAAAAUAGAUCAGGAUUGUCAAAAAUAACAUCUAUAAUUGUUAGAACACAAAAUUUUGUUAUUGGCGAGUCAGUUAAUUCAUAAUGUGUCAUGCUAUUAGAUAGAAAGGUAUUCGUAUAAUGUAUGUGAGUUUAGUAAAUUAUCGCCCCUCUCAAUAAGGGCUUGCAAGUAAUGAGACACAUAACCUAAUUAAAAGACAGGAUUGUAAUUAAACCGAUAUUUUGUUGAUUAAGAAUGAAUGCAAUUUUCAAAAAUAAUAUCAUGAACCCAUUCAAAUUGAGUGAGAGGGACUUCGUCGAUCUUUUCUUCUAGCAGAUCAAACUUGUUCAGUAUCAAAAUGAAGUCUUUAUAUGGUCAAUGACUGGAUAGUGAGCGUAUGGUGGAAUGUCUAGUUUUGGGGUGGGUGGUUUCAAUUGGGUUGCCACCAAAUAUAUACUACUAGAUAGUAACUUUUGAAUUAAUGAUGCCAAGGGCUUAAAUAAGAUGGAGUAUUUAAUCAAACUUCUUGUUUCAUGAUGCUAUAGUCAAUUGUUGCAUGACUAAUACCUUUUUUUUUUUUUUUUUUUUUUUAAUUUUAUGUUUUUUCGAAAAGGCAGAUUUCAUUCCAUUAGAAAGGAGGAAUAAUGGGCAUGUAAUACAUAGCCUCGUUAAAACCUUCCCGGAGAAACCACACGUGAAAAAUCCCGGAGUAAGAAAGAGUACCACAAAUGCUGAUGAAGUACACAACAAGAAAAAUUACAUUGCAUCACUAUUCCUCCUUUUUAGUUCAAGAGGUAUCUUUUUUUUUCUUUUUUUUUGGUGGUUUUCUUUGUGCAUGCUCUUGGGAUUUAUAGUACUUUACUCUGUUGUGAUCAAUGUUAUGUCUAGAGUACCCAAUGUUAUAUAACUCCCCCAUUGUAAUUUCUAUAACUCAUAACUCGCAAGAAAGAAUUCAACCUCCCCGUAGUUUAGAAAAUAACUAUUUAAUUAAAGAUUACAAUCUGGUUUGGUUAAGUUAACUGACUAUAUAUAUAUAUAGUAGCAACGGUGCCCACGCGAUGCUACAGGUUUUAAAACCCUGUGAAAUGUAUACAAAGUCGUGAAAAUAUGUAGGAAAUAUGGUACUAUUUAUAUAGACAUGGAGAUCUAAAUAGUGGCAUCUUUGUUUUGCAAGUUUAAUACUCCCAAAGAAAAAAUUAGCCAAACUACAGACGCAAAAAUGAAUCUUAAUCAAUUCCAAAUAAUAGAGGCAGUGUUCAAACUUAGAAAGAUAGAAGAACUAAAAUUCAGAUAAUGGAGGUAAUGUUCAAACUUUGAACAUCUCUAACAUGACAUCACCAAAUCAGUAAAUAUUACACAAAAUCAGUAUAAAAACACAUGAAGACAAAAAAAAAAAUAAAAAAAGCAAAUAUUAACAACAAUAGAUCAUUACACAAUUUAGGGUGACCCUAACAACAAUUGAGGAAUUGAUUGCUUUUGUUAGAGACCAAAGCAAGUGUUUCUAAAACAGGGAAUAAGAGCAUAAAAGUUUUUGAAUGUUGGAUGCCCAUUUUUUACUUUUCCUUCCUCUUCCUCUAUUUCCCGAGAAAGCAAAUAAACAGAAUCAGCCAAAUAUCACCACAAAUCAAAUGUAUGGUAAUUAAUUAAAUGCCAAAGUAAGAAGUGCCAAAGAAUCAUUGAGCAUAAAAUAAAAAAAAACCAAAAAUCUGAGUCACCACUUGUAGAAGAUUAGCCCUUUGCUGGCAGCUCCUUUCACUUACAAACUCCUUGGUGUUCCAGUGCCACAACAACUUCAGUACUUGCUGCACAAUCCAAGCUCCUCAGUACUCGAUGCACAAUCCAAGCCCUGCAAGCUACAUUGGUAUUUGUUAUGGGUUGCCAUAAAAGGGAAUUUUCAUUUUUAAAGGUCCGUAUGUACGAAUCUAUAAAUGAGUUGCAAAACUUCCACAAAUAUCAAAUCAAACCACAGAUUAGUGGCAGCAUGUAUGUACCAAAUUGUGGCACAUCCCAUUUCAGCUCAUAAAUCGUCAAAUAAAAAAUCUAAAAUACGCAUUCAUAUCAUACAAGUUGGAAGGAUGAACCAAUAUUUUGCAAAAGCACAAAACUUUAUUAACAUCCCAACAAACCCAAAGGAUAAAAACAGAUAAUCAAAUCAAUCAUGAAAUACAGAAUUACAGACAGAAUACGCACAUAUAAGGAUGAAAUGCAACAAUUAAGACCACUCGCGCCACCCAUUUCUCUGUAAUUGAUCUUUCGCUUUUUCAUUGUCAAUCCAACAUACUUUUAAAUCUUUACCAAUCAAAUUUUACGUCUCCAAUUCAACCGGGCAUUUCGAGGGGAUGCCUCUGACGCAGCCUCCUUCACAUCUGCCACCAAAGCCAAACAUCAAACCUCAAUUAAUUCACAAACCCAGAAACCAACCCAACCCAAAUUACAUAGGGCAGAUAGAUAAAGAAGCAGGAUGAAGCAAAAUGAUAAUAAUUGGUCAAACAGAACCCAACAUGCACAAAAGCUUCAAAUGUCCAAAGCUCCAAAAACAAAACAUAAUAAUAAUAACCCGAAUUGGGCAAACCAAGUUCUACUCAGUAGUGGGUGGCUCUUGUGGGGAAGAAGAUGAAGCUUCAUCUGCAUAAGAGACCAAUGUACACAGUGGGCUUGCGUUUCACGUCCCAUGGCUGCGUUUUGCGAGGCCGAGUCUUCCUGUGAUGCGCAGUGGCCUUCUUCUGUGGCCUCGACGAACACUCAAUCAUCAACCCAGUACCUCCACCAACUGAGCCGCGCAAUGGGGAUGUCUUUGGGACCCCAAACGACUCGAUCGCAGAUGGGUUCUUCACGGCCACACCCAUAGCCACCAAUUGAGGCCCCAACACAGCUUCAGUUCUCACAGUGAGAAAAAGACGAUGGAAUUGGGUUUUCCUUCUCUCAGCGACUCCGACGAAGAGGAGAGAAUAGCGCUGGAGGGCAAAACGGCUAAUUCACUGCUCAUAAGUCAACUCAAGGAAGCAGACCAUCACUUAAGCGGGGGCAAAACCGUCACUUCGCUAUUCCCAAGCUACAGUCCAGGAACAAUGACUCUGGGAUCAGUUUUAGUAUAUAUAUAAUUUAUAAAUAAAUAAAAAGAACUUGUGUAUUUUGUUUCUUUGUUUGUUAAAAAAUAAUGGGAGAUAUUAUUGGCACCCCAUUAUUUGCUCUUUGCACCCCAUAUUAAUUUUAAACAUGAAUAAUUUAUUUAACCUUCGUACAUAAUUACCGUUAAGGACAAAAAGCAUUUAUAAUAAAAAUUAAAUUUGCUCACUACACCCCAUGUAUGUUCCUGCAACUCUAGUUAGAAUUUUUUUCUUAAACCAUCAUGUUCCUACAAUCCUAAUGAGCUUUAUACGCUUAUAUUGGUGAAAAAUAUAUUGUAUUUAUUCAUGAAGGGUGAGAUUGAAGUUAGAGAGGCUUCGAAUGAGUUAUGAGUUUAUUUUUUGGCCUUUUUCAAGCUUGGGAUUUCUUGAUGGUUCGCUAGUUGCGUUUAGCAAACCAGUACCGAACGCGAUAGGUAAAUUCGGUGGGAUGCCACCGAAACAUUGCACCUAUUUUGGUUGCGUUUGACUGGCCGUUAACUUCAGAUGCAGUGGAGAUCCACCAUAAUAUAAACGGUGUUCGGUGGUUUAUUACAGAAUUUUUACCUACAAUUCAGUGGCAACGAACCGAAAUAUAUUUAUUUUUUCAGUAACUUAUUGUCGACCACAAAUUUAAUAUAAGCUAUUUUGACCUUACUCCCAUUGAAGGAACAAAAACAAGAUGACGCCCUUAAAAUAGAUGACACAUCAUCAAAUGUGAUGGUCAUCUCACUAAAAGGCAUGUGAAAGAUGUUCGUUUCAAGAUGCCAUCUCUCAAUAAAGGUAGAUAUAACAAUCUUAUCUGCAUUCCGAUAAGAACACUAAAUAAGUUGCUCCAAUCCAUACCUCUAAAUGUACCAUUUGAAUAUACCAUUAUUUGGAUUAGCCCUCCAAUUUCACUAAUGAAGGAUAGAUGUCUUCGACAUGCACCUAAGGUGCUCACAUUCCUAGUAAAAAACAAUAUUAAGUACAAACUCAAUAACGAAUUCAGUAGAUGAUCACUGAAACAAGAAACGAAUUCACGGAAACAAAAAAUGAAUUCAGUUGACUACUACUGAAAAACAUAAACAUAUUCAAUAGACUGUCACUAAAAAACUGAAACAGAUUAUGUGAACUACUAUUGAAAAACGUAAACACAUUCGGUGGGUAGCUACUGAAAAUAGAAAACAAAUUCGAUGGACUACCGUUGAACAAGGUAACGAUUUUAGUGGGGUUUACACAGGUAAGUUAGGGAAUGGGGUUCAUGAGGGCAAUCUAGGAAGAAAAAUGAGGUGUAUUGAGUAAUUUUAAAAUUUCCUAAAAUUCAGUGGGGUGUAAGGAGAAUAUGAGGUGGAAAGAGCAAAUGUUAGAGUGCCAAUAAAAUCAUCCAAAAAUAAUAUAUGGUUUAAUGGGUUGUCCUGUUAAGGGAAAGCUUGGAGGCAAUAAUUUAAACUUUUGGAAAAACAAUAAUCCCAAAUGUAAGAACAAUUCAUCCACUAAUAGCUUGCAAAAUUAUAAUUUAAAUGGAAAAACAAAAAACAAAUGCACUAGUAAUAAGUUAAUGUAUCUACUAAACUUAAUUACAUGGAGGCAAUCUAAUGGAUCACUAGUGAUUUUUUAGUCAAAACAACCUAGUUAUAUAUAAUUACUGAAAAAAAUAAUCUCAUUUUUCACGGCCCAAGAACGGGCAAGGGUCCUUCAAUAAGUUAAACAUGUUUACAAGGUGUCACCAAAGCACAAAACGGUCCAUAAGCAAACGAACUGUGGCCUCUGAAAGACUAGAGGAAUCCAAGUCCCUCUGAAUCUGAACCAUUCUGCUGCUCUCUUUUCUUGCUUCUUUCAACACUUGCUGUUGUUCUUCAACCUCAUCAUCACCUUCUCCUUGUUUUCCCUUUGAUGAAAACACCAGUCGCUUCUUAGCCCCUACCUUGUCUUUCAGCUUUGCCAACUCGCUCAUCCAAACCUCCACCACUGCAGACAUGCUUGAACUUGAAAACAUGAAAACUGGCUUGGUCUUGACUCUUUGAGUUUGAUCAAGGAUGAUGGGGAGAGCUGGCUAUUAUGCUUGUUGGGUUAUAUAGAAGAGAGAGAGAGAGAGAGAGAGAGAGAGAGAGAGGGCCUUGCCCUUCAUGUGGCUUGGAUUGGAUGAAAAAUCAGUGUGUCACAGACAGCCGUUGGUUAUAGGCUCGCACACAGGAUUUAGUUUUAGGAAUAUUCCAGAGAGAGAGAGAGAGAGAGAGAGAGAGAGAGAGAGUACAAAGUGGGGUAUGAGUUUUGUUGAGUGAAUGAAAAGCUUCCCAGUGGGCGCACGGAACUCUCUUCUUUAGAUUGUGGGCGACUUGGCAUAUUACUAUUCAUCAAUAGUAUCCAUUGCAUCUUAGUUUUUCUUUUGUCUUAUUCCAACAUUGCAAAUCUCUCUUCCGGGUCAACCACCUCUUCAUCAUCAUCUUCAGUAAAAGUAGCCAUCUUCAUUAUCUUCACAGCUGAAGUAGUCAUGUUCCGAGUCUUGCUCAUCUUCACAUAGAUCAACACCUGAUUCAGACUCAUCGGAUUCAGACCUGUCAUUAGCAUCUUCCAAGUCAUCGGAUUCAGACUCACCAUCUUCCGUAAAUAUAGACAGGUCGUCAUCAUCCUGUGUCAUUACCAGGUGGACCCCGAAGCUAUUAAAACGCAGCGAAUCUUGUGUCAAAUUCUGAAAAUUAACUUGACACGCAAAAGGCGACUGCGGCCAGGUAAUCUGAUCAUCCCGGUAAAACAUUUCUCUGAAUCGAAUAUAGCACAGCCACACAUGACCUGACCCUAUCUUUCUGAAAUGGUAAUCGAACUGAAUAUAAUGAGGUACCACUUCUGGUUGAUUGACGGAAAUUUUUGUUAGAAAACCAUGGUAACGUCGUCUUUUAUUUUGCGGGUUUUCAACAGCAGCAUAUAGAGCCAAUCCUUGGUUCUGGCAUUUGAAGUUUGGAGGGAUUUCAAUCAAAAGUUCACAUGCUUCAUCACGCUCCUUCACAUCGUUAUGACAGCUGAACAACGUCGAGAGAGCUUCAAAACUUGCUGGAAAUACAACCUG